UCGGGGGACAAAGUGACAGGUGGUGCAUGGUUGUCGUCAGCUCGUGUCGUGAGAUGUUGGGUUAAGUCCCGCAACGAGCGCAACCCUUAAGCUUAGUUGCCAUCAUUAAGUUGGGCACUCUAAGUUGACUGCCGGUGACAAACCGGAGGAAGGUGGGGAUGACGUCAAAUCAUCAUGCCCCUUAUGAUUUGGGCUACACACGUGCUACAAUGGACAAUACAAAGGGCAGCGAAACCGCGAGGUCAAGCAAAUCCCAUAAAGUUGUUCUCAGUUCGGAUUGUAGUCUGCAACUCGACUACAUGAAGCUGGAAUCGCUAGUAAUCGUAGAUCAGCAUGCUACGGUGAAUACGUUCCCGGGUCUUGUACACACCGCCCGUCACACCACGAGAGUUUGUAACACCCGAAGCCGGUGGAGUAACCUUUUAGGAGCUAGCCGUCGAAGGUGGGACAAAUGAUUGGGGUGAAGUCGUAACAAGGUAGCCGUAUCGGAAGGUGCGGCUGGAUCACCUCCUU
rnacentral:rRNA from 1 species